GAUGAACGCUGGCGGCGUGCUUAACACAUGCAAGUCGAACGAGAAGUGGAGGCGGAAACCUUCGGGCGGAAGACUUUAUUUCGAGUGGCGGACGGGUGAGUAACGCGUGGGUAACCUGCCUCAUACAGGGGGAUAACAGUUGGAAACGACUGUUAAUACCGCAUAAGACCACAGCACCGCAUGGUGCGGGGGUAAAAACUCCGGUGGUAUGAGAUGGACCCGCGUUCGAUUAGCCAGUUGGCGGGGUAACGGCCCACCAAAGCGACGAUCGAUAGCCGAUCUGAGAGGAUGACCGGCCACAUUGGGACUGAGACACGGCCCAAACUCCUACGGGAGGCAGCAGUGGGGAAUAUUGCACAAUGGGGGAAACCCUGAUGCAGCGACGCCGCGUGAGUGAAGAAGUAUUUCGGUAUGUAAAGCUCUAUCAGCAGGGAAGAAAAUGACGGUACCUGAGUAAGAAGCCCCGGCUAACUACGUG
rnacentral:rRNA from 1 species